ACGAACGCUGGCGGCGUGCCUAAUACAUGCAAGUAGAACGCUGAAGAGAGGAGCUUGCUCUUCUUGGAUGAGUUGCGAACGGGUGAGUAACGCGUAGGUAACCUGCCUUGUAGCGGGGGAUAACUAUUGGAAACGAUAGCUAAUACCGCAUAACAAUGGAUGACACAUGUCAUUUAUUUGAAAGGGGCAAUUGCUCCACUACAAGAUGGACCUGCGUUGUAUUAGCUAGUAGGUGAGGUAACGGCUCACCUAGGCGACGAUACAUAGCCGACCUGAGAGGGUGAUCGGCCACACUGGGACUGAGACACGGCCCAGACUCCUACGGGAGGCAGCAGUAGGGAAUCUUCGGCAAUGGGGGCAACCCUGACCGAGCAACGCCGCGUGAGUGAAGAAGUAUCUCGGUAUGUAAAGCUCUAUCAGCAGGGAAGAAAAUGACGGUACCUGACUAAGAAGCCCCGGCUAACUACGUGCCAGCAGCCGCGGUAAUACGUAGGUCCCGAGCGUUGUCCGGAUUUAUUGGGCGUAAAGCGAGCGCAGGCGGUUUGAUAAGUCUGAAGUUAAAGGCUGUGGCUCAACCAUAGUUCGCUUUGGAAACUGUCAAACUUGAGUGCAGAAGGGGAGAGUGGAAUUCCAUGUGUAGCGGUGAAAUGCGUAGAUAUAUGGAGGAACACCGGUGGCGAAAGCGGCUCUCUGGUCUGUAACUGACGCUGAGGCUCGAAAGCGUGGGGAGCGAACAGGAUUAGAUACCCUGGUAGUCCACGCCGUAAACGAUGAGUGCUAGGUGUUGGAUCCUUUCCGGGAUUCAGUGCCGCAGCUAACGCAUUAAGCACUCCGCCUGGGGAGUACGACCGCAAGGUUGAAACUCAAAGGAAUUGACGGGGGCCCGCACAAGCGGUGGAGCAUGUGGUUUAAUUCGAAGCAACGCGAAGAACCUUACCAGGUCUUGACAUCCCGAUGCUAUUUCUAGAGAUAGAAAGUUACUUCGGUACAUCGGUGACAGGUGGUGCAUGGUUGUCGUCAGCUCGUGUCGUGAGAUGUUGGGUUAAGUCCCGCAACGAGCGCAACCCCUAUUGUUAGUUGCCAUCAUUCAGUUGGGCACUCUAGCGAGACUGCCGGUAAUAAACCGGAGGAAGGUGGGGAUGACGUCAAAUCAUCAUGCCCCUUAUGACCUGGGCUACACACGUGCUACAAUGGUUGGUACAACGAGUUGCGAGUCGGUGACGGCAAGCUAAUCUCUUAAAGCCAAUCUCAGUUCGGAUUGUAGGCUGCAACUCGCCUACAUGAAGUCGGAAUCGCUAGUAAUCGCGGAUCAGCACGCCGCGGUGAAUACGUUCCCGGGCCUUGUACACACCGCCCGUCACACCACGAGAGUUUGUAACACCCGAAGUCGGUGAGGUAACCUUUUGGAGCCAGCCGCCUAAGGUGGGAUAGAUGAUUGGGGUG
rnacentral:rRNA from 1 species